rnacentral:lncRNA from 1 species
UAAAAUUUAAAAUAAAAUAAAAAUAAUAUAUAAAAAACGAAUUCAAAAAAAAAAAAAUGGUGUCAACAAAACAGUAACCCCUAAACUCUAAUACUAAACCCUAAAGUCUAAUACUAAACCCUAAACUCAAAUCCUAAACCCUACAUCCUUGGGUAAACCCUAAAUCCUUGGGCAAACCUUAAAUCUUUGGAAAAACACUAAACAUGUUGUCAACCAAACACUAAACCCUAAACUCUAAUCCUAAACACUAAACCCUUGGGAAAACCCUAAACCCUUGGGUAAACCCU